CAGCCGCCGCGGUAAAACGUAGGGUGCAAGCGUUAAUCGGAAUUACUGGGCGUAAAGCGUGCGCAGGCGGUUUGUUAAGACAGAUGUGAAAUCCCCGGGCUCAACCUGGGAACUGCAUUUGUGACUGGCAGGCUAGAGUAUGGCAGAGGGGGGUGGAAUUCCGCGUGUAGCAGUGAAAUGCGUAGAUAUGCGGAGGAACACCGAUGGCGAAGGCAGACCCCUGGGCCAAUACUGACGCUCAUGCACGAAAGCGUGGGGAGCAAACAGGAUUAGAUACCCCCGUAGUCCCUGUCUCUUAUAC
rnacentral:rRNA from 1 species